UCAGAUUAUAAAGUGCUACCAGCACACCACAAGCAGUCGCUCUUUUGGGUGUUUUUCAAGACCGAAUCCUAGCUCUGAGCCCCUUUGAAUUGGUGGCCCAUCAUUAACACAGAGCAGUGAGAUGGAGCAAACUGUCUGAGAGCCAGGACAACUAUCUCAGGGAUCAGGAGAACUUUUGGAACCAGUCUUUGAACUCACGUUUCACAUCCCAAGGGCUUCCCACAGCAGUGAGGUCUGCAGAAGAUCAGUUCUGUUGGAUCCAGUGGUAAAAUCAGUUGGUGCUGGAGUUAGCAGCUCUGCGCCCAGAGCCCUCCUAGGGACCCUAGGAAGUGGUGACCUUCAUCUGCUCUCUGCUGACCUGGAUCCGUGUCUUCUGCUGCCUGUAGGGGCUCUGCAGGGGAGGGGGAGCUGCUGGGACAGAGCAUGGCAGACGUUUCUGCUCAAUACAAUAGGAAUACUGGAGAUAGCAAAUGAGGCCAAACUUCAGGAUGCAAAGACCUUCAUGAAAUGGAGCUUCUGACCACAGCUGAGUUUCAUCAUCUAUUCCCUUGGUCUGCUUUGGUGGCAAAAAGUGGCUGCCUUCCUUAGCAGAUGGUUUGAGAGGUGAUGGCUGCCACCCUGGUGACUGCCCCAGUUCUGCCCCAGCGACACGUCUGUGGGUCGCCCGUCUCAUCCCUGCUCCUGCUGCUUCCAGCCACCUUCUGCUGCCAGUGCCCCGUGUCCACCUGCACCUAAAAGCCUCCUUCCAGGGCCCGGGCUUCUCAGCGUGGAGAACCACUGGGGAUUCGCACUGUGAUGCUCUGGCAGAGGACACAGGAAUUUUGAUCACCUUUCCCAACAGGAAGAAUCAGAACGCUGUGUGCAGGAGAGGACAUUUUCCAUAGUGAAGCCUAUGCCACUGCUGUGGUGGGGAACCAAGUUAUGAUACUCUCCAAAGUGGGGUGGACAUUGAGGCUAAAUCUCUGCUGGUAAACUAGCAACAGGUUCUGUUCUGUACUCCUGAGGUCAACUAUGUGGUCUGUUUGAAUUGCUAACACAGAAUAGCCCUUAAUCCUCUAAAUCAGGGAAACUGCAUCCACACUGCCUGUGGGACAUGGCACCUGUCCAGUGCUAACUCCAAAGCUGUGCAUGGGAAUCGUAUGACCAAAUUUUGGAUGUAUCAAGCCAAAACUGAACCAGGCAUCAUUUCAGCAAUUUUACAGAACAGAGAAUAAAAUUAAUACCGUGAGCCAUUGACCUAACUGUUCAGUUGACUACAGCUAGCAUAACCUGUGGGAUUAGGGGAAAGGAAAACCCUGUAAUAAUUGCUCAGAUAUUCAGGCAACAAGAAAUGAGUGAAAUCUGAAAUAUUCCUAUUCAGAUAUUAUAUAUUUCCAAAUGUAGUUUGCGUAAUCUAUAGUAGCCCUACUCCAAAACACACGGGCACAAGCAUAAAGCCACAUCUGGUUUGUGCUUGGGAAUCCUCUAAGAUCAAGAAUCAGUGGAGACAGGAUAUCCAAAUAUAAUAAAUAAUAUAAUAAAGUCACCAGAAUAAUUUAGAAAGCAUUGAUACGCUUCAAGCUAAACAUCAAAAAUGUAUCCUUUAAAAGACGUCUAUUCAGGACUUUGAUGUAAUCAGUAUAUGAACAUUACUAUGCUUUUUUGAAUUAAAGUUAUGUCCUUGAUGCUGAUCUAUCUACUACUUAUAGAAAAGAAAUCACACUCACUCACACAAUAUAUUCAGUAGUGCUUACACUGCAAAAAGAAUAGCCAGUAGCUGUAAAUUGCAGCUGCUGGGACUGGUUUAUUUAAAGUGUUGCACUUUCUUUUUCUCUCUUUCUAGCAACCUCUUAGGAAUUACUUUAGAACUACUUUAUACAGAGACAUGAUGCACGGCAGUUAACUGCCAAUCUGGAAUAGAAAUGUCUAGCAUCUCAAUUAUUCCUAAAACGUAUUUUAAAUUGUAAGUAUGAUCUAGUACCUAGAAUUUAAGUUUUGUAUGUUUUUAUUAUUAUUAUUAUUAUUAUUAUUAUUAUUAUUAUUAUUAUUAUUAUUAUUAUUAUUAUUAUAGAACUACAUGGAAUGCUUCCAAAUAAUGCACACUCUAAAUAAGUCAUUUCUGAAUAAAUGUUAAACUGUUUGAGAAUAAUCCAGGCCUAGGUGCAGUACACUUCCAAAACAUUCUUGUUUGAAAUACAUAUAUUUUGCCGAACUGUAAAAGGAAUAGAUAUCCUUGGCUAUUGGUCUUACUCAUCCUCAUUUGUAUUGGUGUAAACUUGGAGAACCUUCAGUAAAGUCAAUAGACUGGAACUUGUACAAAACCUUAAUAUAAAACUGGGAUAAGCAACAGCACUGACUUUAUAUUUCAUGAAAAACUUACGCUUCAGUGAUUAUGGUUAAUACAUGCUCUUAUGACAAUGUGACAAUUUGCAAAGAUCAUGAACUGGGUAUUUGAUGUCCAUAUUUAUUUCGAGCUUCAUUUAUGGUGAAGGGCCAUUAAGAUUGGAGUUAAUUAAAAAUAAAUAAAAAAAGAGAAAAAAGGGACUAGGCUUUUACUCAUAAAAUUUGCAGUUAACUCUUACAUUUUUUUGUUGUUGUUGUUUUUUGAAGUGAAUUGGAUUCCAUGAAAAUUUCAUAAAGACUGCUCCUUAUAUCCAAAGUGGAAAUUUGAUUUAAAGGAAAAACAAACAAACAAACAAACAACCCCCCCACACACAUAAAAACAAACAAACAAAAAAACAACACAGGUAGGAUUUAUACUUAAGCCCUUUGCUAUGUGUUUGUUUUAAUUCCAGAUUGGUCAUUUUGGGGAGUAAAAAUUUCUUUCUUUUCUUGUCUUUGUUACACAAAGGCCUCCAUAAAACAUUUGGAAAUGUCUCACUGUUACCUUAUUAGCAAGCGCGGGAUGAGAAUUCAACUACCAAAGUUGUCAGAAAAUUGUAUUCCUAUUUUCCUGCCUUAUUAAGGAUGAUUUCUUACCUAUCCAUUUCAGAAAUACACAAGUAUUUACUCGGAUUAAAAAUUGCAAUGCCCAAGCAGUAAGGUUUUAUUGAUAGCGAAGAAUUUACUCCAGAUUAACUAGUUGCUCAUUGCAAUGCUAUAGCUGAUGGUCUGGAAACUGCAGAGUUUUGAUGUUCCCCUUUACAGGACUGUGAGUUUCAUCAGAGCUCUAAUUUCCUGAUUUCAGUAUUAUAAAAAUAGCAUGAG